CUAAUAAUUUUAAUGGCAGACUUAAAAAAGGAGAAACAAAAUAAAAUAAUCUUUUUUUCCUUCAUCUCUUUAUUAUAAAAAAAAAUUACCUGACCGGGACUGACAACAGGUGAAGCAGUACUAUUUUUAUUACAUUUUUCUAUCAUUAUUUUCUCCCACUUUAGCAGAAAUAAUAUAGUAGCAGCAGCAGCAGUAGUCAUAGUAGUAGCAGAAGUAGUAGUAGUAAUAGUAGUAGUAGCAGUAGUAGUUACCCUGUCAUAUCAUUAUACAUUAAUCUACAUCAUAAAAAGGCUAUAAUUUGCUUUAGUCUGCCCACAAACUUCUUUUCCAGUACACUAAGCAACAAUAUUCUUAAGUCUCCCCAUCACUCUGAUACAAAACACAAUAUUCUUUAGUCUCCCCAUCACUCUCUGAUACAAAACACAGUAUUCUUAAGUCUCCCCAUCACUCUCUGAUACAAAACACAAUAUUCUUAAGUCUCCCCAUCACUCUCUUCUCUGAUACAAAACACAAUAUUCUUAAGUCUCCCCAUCACUC